UUAAAUUGAAGAGUUUGAUCAUGGCUCAGAUUGAACGCUGGCGGCAGGCCUAACACAUGCAAGUCGAACGGUAACAGGAAGCAGCUUGCUGCUUUGCUGACGAGUGGCGGACGGGUGAGUAAUGUCUGGGAAACUGCCUGAUGGAGGGGGAUAACUACUGGAAACGGUGGCUAAUACCGCAUAACGUCGCAAGACCAAAGAGGGGGACCUUCGGGCCUCUUGCCAUCAGAUGUGCCCAGAUGGGAUUAGCUUGUUGGUGAGGUAACGGCUCACCAAGGCGACGAUCCCUAGCUGGUCUGAGAGGAUGACCAGCCACACUGGAACUGAGACACGGUCCAGACUCCUACGGGAGGCAGCAGUGGGGAAUAUUGCACAAUGGGCGCAAGCCUGAUGCAGCCAUGCCGCGUGUAUGAAGAAGGCCUUCGGGUUGUAAAGUACUUUCAGCGGGGAGGAAGGUGUUGUGGUUAAUAACCGCAGCAAUUGACGUUACCCGCAGAAGAAGCACCGGCUAACUCCGUGCCAGCAGCCGCGGUAAUACGGAGGGUGCAAGCGUUAAUCGGAAUUACUGGGCGUAAAGCGCACGCAGGCGGUCUGUCAAGUCGGAUGUGAAAUCCCCGGGCUCAACCUGGGAACUGCAUUCGAAACUGGCAGGCUUGAGUCUUGUAGAGGGGGGUAGAAUUCCAGGUGUAGCGGUGAAAUGCGUAGAGAUCUGGAGGAAUACCGGUGGCGAAGGCGGCCCCUGGACAAAGACUGACGCUCAGGUGCGAAAGCGUGGGGAGCAAACAGGAUUAGAUACCCUGGUAGUCCACGCCGUAAACGAUGUCUACUUGGAGGUUGUGCCCUUGAGGCGUGGCUUCCGGAGCUAACGCGUUAAGUAGACCGCCUGGGGAGUACGGCCGCAAGGUUAAAACUCAAAUGAAUUGACGGGGGCCCGCACAAGCGGUGGAGCAUGUGGUUUAAUUCGAUGCAACGCGAAGAACCUUACCUGGUCUUGACAUCCACAGAACUUUCCAGAGAUGGAUUGGUGCCUUCGGGAACUGUGAGACAGGUGCUGCAUGGCUGUCGUCAGCUCGUGUUGUGAAAUGUUGGGUUAAGUCCCGCAACGAGCGCAACCCUUAUCCUUUGUUGCCAGCGAUUAGGUCGGGAACUCAAAGGAGACUGCCAGUGAUAAACUGGAGGAAGGUGGGGAUGACGUCAAGUCAUCAUGGCCCUUACGACCAGGGCUACACACGUGCUACAAUGGCGCAUACAAAGAGAAGCGACCUCGCGAGAGCAAGCGGACCUCAUAAAGUGCGUCGUAGUCCGGAUUGGAGUCUGCAACUCGACUCCAUGAAGUCGGAAUCGCUAGUAAUCGUGGAUCAGAAUGCCACGGUGAAUACGUUCCCGGGCCUUGUACACACCGCCCGUCACACCAUGGGAGUGGGUUGCAAAAGAAGUAGGUAGCUUAACCUUCGGGAGGGCGCUUACCACUUUGUGAUUCAUGACUGGGGUGAAGUCGUAACAAGGUAACCGUAGGGGAACCUGCGGUUGGAUCACCUCCUUACCUGAAAGAAGC
rnacentral:rRNA from 1 species